AGGGAAUCUUCCACAAUGGACGCAAGUCUAAUGGAGCAACGCCGCGUGAGUGAAGAAGGUUUUCGGACCGUAAAGCUCUGUUGUUGGUGAAGAAGGAUAGAGGUAGUAACUGGCCUUUAUUUGACGGUAAUCAACCAGAAAGUCACGGCUAACUACGUGCCAGCAGCCGCGGUAAUACGUAGGUGGCAAGCGUUGUCCGGAUUUAUUGGGCGUAAAGCGAGCGCAGGCGGAAGAAUAAGUCUGAUGUGAAAGCCCUCGGCUUAACCGAGGAAUUGCAUCGGAAACUGUUUUCUUGAGUGCAGAAGAGGAGAGUAGAACUCCAUGUGUAGCGGUGGAAUGCGUAGAUAUAUGGAAGAAUACCAGUGGCGAAGGCGGCUCUCUGGUCUGCAACUGACGCUGAGGCUCGAAAGCAUGGGUAGCGAACAGGAUUAGAUACCCUGGUAGUCCAUGCCGUAAACGAUGAGUGCUAAGUGUUGGGAGGCUUCCGCCUCUCAGUGCUGCAGCUAACGCAUUAAGCACUCCGCCUGGGGGAGUACGACCGCAAGGUUGAA
rnacentral:rRNA from 1 species